AUUGAACGCUGGCGGCAGGCCUAACACAUGCAAGUCGAGCGGAUGAAGGGAGCUUGCUCCUGGAUUCAGCGGCGGACGGGUGAGUAAUGCCUAGGAAUCUGCCUGGUAGUGGGGGAUAACGUCCGGAAACGGGCGCUAAUACCGCAUACGUCCUGAGGGAGAAAGUGGGGGAUCUUCGGACCUCACGCUAUCAGAUGAGCCUAGGUCGGAUUAGCUAGUUGGUGGGGUAAAGGCCUACCAAGGCGACGAUCCGUAACUGGUCUGCGAGGAUGAUCAGUAAAACUGAAAUGGGGAAACGGUCCAGCCUCCUACGGGAGGCAGCAGGGGGGAUAAUUGGACAAUGGGCGAAAGCCGGAUCCAGCCAAGCGGCGUGUGUGAAGAAGGUCUUCGGAGGGUAAAGCACUUUAAGGGGGGAGGAGGGCAGUAAGUUAAUACCUUGCUGUUUUGACGGUACCAACAGAAUAAGCACCGGCUAACUUCGUG
rnacentral:rRNA from 1 species